UUACCAAUAGUUUACUGGUAGAAAAAAAUUUUCGGUUGGUGACUGAUGGGUCCUGGGUUCAAUCCCCAGUUGGUCCAAG